GCCCAGAUAGCUCAGUCGGUAGAGCAGGGGACUGAAAAUCCUUGUGUCGGUGGUUCGAUUCCGCCUCUGGGCACCA
rnacentral:tRNA from 1 species